rnacentral:lncRNA from 1 species
UAGGAGUGUAGCUCAGUGGUAAAGUGGGUGUUUAACAUGCAUGAGGCCCUGGGUUCAAUCCCCUUACUAUAUGUGUUUUUUUGUUUUGUUUUUUAUGUAGACCACCACUUUCAGCUUGUUUCCUUUUUAGUCUCCACCACCAUCUUUAAAUAAUUUGUUAGGCCUUUAAAUUUCCUCUUGUAGAAGACAUUUUCAUAAAAUUAUAGGAUGGCCUCUGGGGGAGUCCUACUGUAUAAUAAAUAUUAUUUAUUAGUCAAUAGUAAAAACAAUUACAUAUUUAAUUAUAUCUCAUCUUAUUCCAAAGAAGAUGUAAAGCCAUUUAAAGCAAAAUCAAGAGAGCCACAGCCUAACAUGCCAUAAAGGAAGAAAGACUCAGGGUGGCACCAAAUUAAAAAAAAAAAAAAAAAUACUACGAACAAAAGUAAAUGCACAGCAUAACAUUCCAAGGAAGCUAAAUGUAGGCCACAAUUUGGUUUUAAAGAUGGACCCUGUUUUAUUUUAUAGCUCAUAAUUUCCAUGAGAUAGAAAUAAACUAAAUGUUCAAAGGAACUUAAUGAAAUUCUUGUUAGUAUAUAUGAGGGGAAUUUCUCCUUAUGUUCUUGGUAAGUAGAAACUAUGUCACAGAGUUUAUUUUUCAUAAAGUGAGCUAUGAGCCAGUAAGAAAAGGUGAACACCUCAAUAAAAAUUUGAUAAGCAGUUUACUGAGGAAGUAUAAAAAUCCUUUCAACCUGAAUGUUGAACUUAAUAAUCUGUAAAAUAUGUAUUAUCAUUUUUAACCUAUUAAAAUAUUCUGUUGUUUGAACCUAGUAUCUUUUGUUGGUCAGGCUUGAGGUGUUUAAAUU